UCCACACCAAAGAGCAAAUUGGGGAGAAAAGUGUUUAGUGGGUGUAUGCUUCCAGAUCAUCUUUAGCUGAAGUCAGUGUAGGAACUCCGACAGGGCAGGAUUUGACUCAUAGGCAAUGCAGGGGUGCUGUUUACUGGCUUGUAUCCCCUGGCAUGCUCAGCCAGCUUUCUAAUAGAACUCAGGACUUCCAUCCCAGGAAUAGCACCACCACCAUGGGAUGGACCCUCCCCCAUUGACCACUAAUUGAGAAGAUGCUUUACAUCUGGGUCUCAUGGAGGCGUUUCCUCCACUGAGGCACCAUCUUCUCUGAUGACUCUUGUCCAGUUGACACAAAAUCAGUUAGUGCAAGCCCUAAGUUAAUAACUCCAGACAUAGGAAUCAUAGACCUCUGGGGAUACUAUUUGAUAAAGGUGGGUAAGGGCUGCCUUUUGUUCCCACCCUUUCUGCUGUAUUGACAGUUUCCCCUUGUCGCUUUUGAUUUGGUCAACCCUUGCUGUUCUUAAUAGCAGGGAACUUGUCUGUAUGAAAGCCAAGAAGGUCCUCUUGUACAGUUGCAGGGCUGAGCCUUUAUGCACCUGGCUAUCCAAGCUUAUCUCAGAGCCUUUUCAAACAGACAGAAGGAGCUGGUGCUGUUCAAACUCCCUCUUGGUCCGACAUGAUACCACUGCAGAUGGAUUUUCAUCACCUCCCAUUGCCAAUGUACAUUCAGCAUGUAAUGCGUCCCCAAUGCACCCCCCAAAAUGGAGAUCUGUCAUUGAGGCAGAGAGAAACCCUGACAAUUUAACCUGGGAUCCUGCAGGCUCACCACUGGGGCAGAGUGGGUUACAGCACUGUUAAGCUACUCCCAGAAAUCCAUUUCUCUAAGAACACAAAGAAUCCAUUACUGUAAGACCUCAAAAGCUGCCAGAGAUUCAGCCCAUACAGUGCUUGUGCAUAGUGCCUGCUAAAUAUGCUGAUAGAAUGCCCUGGAUCCCGGACCUUUGACGAAGGAUUAAGACACAAGGUGAAAUAAUUUUCAGUUGACUGGAUACAGCCCGCUGAAGGUAAAAUCUGCAGUGGUGAAGGCUGCUAGCCUGUGCCUUCUCAGUUCCCCUUCAUCUGUGUAUCCUACUCGGAAUUUGCCCCACAGAGGCAGUGUCCAAGGGAGACACAUCUCCAAGGAUUUGGUAGACCCCCUAGUAAACCUGCUUACUGUCCAGAAACUUAUGCUUCUGUGGGCAGUAUCUUAUUCUCAAAUUAUUAAUUCUCUUACUGGUUUUUCACCAAGGUGGGGGGAACAGCAAAGAAAAACCCUAAGUGAUUUUGUCUCUCAAAAAUAUGAUUUGUAAUUUAAAAGGCAAUGGAUGAAAAUUGUCUUCCACACAAAAUUAUUUCUAAAGUGAGGAACAAAAUUCAUUUACAAAAUAUUUU